UUAGGUAGUCUGAGCAUAGAGGUAAAGGCUAUAACCACGGGGAAGAAACUGUUCAGAUUGGGGUCUAUAACAUCCAAUCACAGAGGUUUACAGCAGCUGACAGUUGCAACUUCAUUGCUAAUAACUCAAACUUCCUUUUUCAGAUAAAGACCUCAUCUCUGUACAGAUGUAGGAUCUGAAUUUGAUCACCCUGUUGCAGGAAAACUAAAACUUGUAGUGUAUUUGAUGUUUUAAAAGGCUUCUGAAGUUUGUCAUUUCCACUUUCCACUUUAAAAUGUUAAUUAUAAUCCACAUAAUUGUUCUGCUGUAGUAAACUGUCUCAAAUUAAGAUCCUACAUCUGUAGCAAAACACCUGUCUUUCAUGUGUUCUCCUUUGACGAUUUGACAUCUUUUAUUUACUAUUGUUUAGGCUGGUUGAAUGAGUUGUCUAUGAAAGCUACUUCAUCUGUAAGAAAACAGACGGCUGCACCAGUGACUGGGUCAGUGCUCUAAAAUGAGUCUCUCUGGGGAGAGAGAGGAGGGGGGCCCUGCCUCUAAAAUGAGUCUCUCUGGGGAGAGAAAGGAGGGGGGCCCUGCCUCUAAAAUGAGUCUCUCUGGGGAGAGAGAGGAGGGGGGCCCUGCCUCUAAAAUGAGUCUCUCUGGGGAACAUGACACCAAAGCUAAGAGACGAAUCCAGCAGGAGAGACCAGCCUCCCCUGUACCCAGCUGUGUGUCCAUGAAGAGUGACCAGUCUAUGGUUCAAC